AGUGUUUUUUUUUUCCGAUCGGAGAAACGUAUCGAAAAAUAAAAAUUUUGAUUUUAGUCAUAAUCUGAUGUGGUAUAUUAUACUCAUUAGUUUCGAGCGCGUGUUACGUAACAUACAAAAAAUCUCAUUUAAAGAUUUGGGAACAAUGCUAUACCAAGGCAGCAUUCACUACCCUGUGGGUAAACUAGUUCUAAACAUUAAAAAGUUGGUCAAAAUGUUUUGUUGUUGGUCAAAGGAAAUAUUGGGAGUAAAUGCGCUAAACAUAUGAAGAAAUACACCGUCUUUCAUCAAUAUUGAAAUUUGGCAAAAAUUUGUUUUUGGUCAAAAUAUAUUGAGAAAAAAAUGCCAUUAAAUUUUGACUGUAGUGUGCAUUGCCCCAUCACCAAUUAGUGUUUGUUUUGGGACCAGUUUUUGUCAAUAACUCUGAGUGACAGUUUUACAAUCAACACGGAUCUUGCAAUUCCAGCGUUUAUCGCGGAGAUACUCGAAACCGUGAGACCGCAAAUACUGUGGCCGGACUGCACAUUUAACAAGCAGCAACGAUCAUUAAUUUCCCUAACUGUAUAUAUAGGCUAAGUGCUAAAGAAUUAUAGUUUAAAUAAUAUAUCGAGUGUCAGUCUAUUAAUAAUUAUAUUAAAACAAUUAUCCGGUUAGCUGAUUACAUAUGAUUAAUAUCGUGCAGAUUACACGGCUAUGUAGAUUUGCAUGACCUCUCUCGUAAGAAAACAGAAAGUUGGUCAAUUUCAUUGAAAACGUUGGUCUAUUUGUAUGACGGCCCCCAAUCAUGAGUCGUUCGCCGCGCCCCUGAACUUACGACCGACACGCAUAAAUAAGACUGUGAUCGCUUAUACUAACAUGAGAGAUACCAGAGCAAACAACUUUAUCAGGAGUAUUUGUGAAGAUUAUAUGAGUAAUUGAGUAUCAAUGUAGAGGAGAAGUCUGGGAUUCAAGUGGGUUCAUUUAUAAGCUGAGAAAGAAGAUAUAAAUCAGCAAUAUCCAUGAGUAACUUCGAACUAUGAUCUAAGACUGUAGGGAAUCAAGAUAUACCUAAAAGUGUUUUAUAAUGAUUAAAUUUUACAACGGGCGAAUUUGAUGGCCUAUACCAAGUGGCCCAGUAGUGAGACAAGGCUUGGAUCUACCCUAAAAUGCACAAAUUUUCAAAUUGUUGAAAUGAUAGAUUAUGCAAAAUCGAAAUAUUAAGGAAACUACGUAUAUAGAAAUAAACACCUUCGCCAAAUCUACCAUUGAAAUCUCGUACAAUUUCGUAGCCAUGUAUACAGCUAUUUCAAUUAGAUCGUGACUAAAACACCACACGAGUACACACGAGUAACAUACGAGUAACACACAAGAACAUACGAGUACAUACGAGUAACAUACGAGUACAUACGAGUAACAUACGAGUACAUACGAGCAACAUACGAGUACAUACAAGUACACACGAGUAACGGCUAUCUUUAAAAUAGGGAACGGGAAUGCGGGAAUGGGGGAAUGCGGGAAUGGGGGAAUGCGGGAAUGGGGGAACAGGGAAUGGGGG